AGAGUUUGAUCCUGGCUCAGAUUGAACGCUGGCGGCAGGCCUAACACAUGCAAGUCGAGCGGAAACAGAGAGUAACUUGUUACUUUGCUGUCGAGCGGCGGACGGGUGAGUAAUGCUUGGGAAACUGCCCAGUCGAGGGGGACAACCAUUGGAAACGAUGGCUAAUACCGCAUACGCCCUACGGGGGAAAGAAGGGGACUCUUCGGAGCCUUUCGCGAUUGGAUGUGCCCAAGUGGGAUUAGCUAGUUGGUGAGGUAAAGGCUCACCAAGGCGACGAUCCCUAGCUGGUUUGAGAGGAUGAUCAGCCACACUGGAACUGAGACACGGUCCAGACUCCUACGGGAGGCAGCAGUGGGGAAUAUUGCACAAUGGGCGCAAGCCUGAUGCAGCCAUGCCGCGUGUAUGAAGAAGGCCUUCGGGUUGUAAAGUACUUUCAGCGAGGAGGAAAGGGUAGUAGUUAAUAACUGCUAUCUGUGACGUUACUCGCAGAAGAAGGACCGCUAACU
rnacentral:rRNA from 1 species